AUUGAACGCUGGCGGCAGGCCUAACACAUGCAAGUCGGGCGGAGCGGCGGACGGGUGAGGAAUGCCUAGGAAACUGCCUGGUAGUGGGGGAUAACGUCCGGAAAAGGGCGCUAAUACCGCAGACCAGCAGAUGAGCCCAGGUCGGAUUAGCUAGUUGGUGGGGUAAAGGGCUGCAAAGGCGACGAUCCGUAACUGGUCUGAGAGGAUGAUCAGUGACUCGUGAACUGAGACACGGUCCAGACUCCUACGGUAGGCCGCAGUGGGGAAUAUUGGACGAUUGGCGAAAGCCUGAUCCAGCCCUGCCGCGUGUGUGAAGAAGGUCUUCGGAUUGUAAAGCACUUUAAGUUGGGAGGCGUUACCAACAGAAUAAGCACCGGCUAACUUCGUGCCAGCAGCCGCGGUAAUUC
rnacentral:rRNA from 1 species